rnacentral:tRNA from 1 species
GGAGAGGUGGCCGAGCGGCCUAAGGCGCUUGCCUGCUAAGCAAGUGUAGGGUUUAUUCCCUACCGAGGGUUCGAAUCCCUCCCUCUCCG